rnacentral:rRNA from 1 species
GUAACGGGGCUAAACCAUGCACCGAAGCUGCGGCAGCGACACUGUGUGUUGUUGGGUAGGGGAGCGUUCUGUAAGCCUGUGAAGGUGGCCUGUGAGGGUUGCUGGAGGUAUCAGAAGUGCGAAUGCUGACAUAAGUAACGAUAAAGCGGGUGAAAAGCCCGCUCGCCGGAAGACCAAGGGUUCCUGUCCAACGUUAAUCGGGGCAGGGUGAGUCGACCCCUAAGGCGAGGCCGAAAGGCGUAGUCGAUGGGAAACGGGUUAAUAUUCCCGUACUUGGUGUUACUGCGAAGGGGGGACGGAGAAGGCUAUGUUGGCCGGGCGACGGUUGUCCCGGUUUAAGCGUGUAGGUGUGUGUUCCAGGUAAAUCCGGUUCACUUUAACACUGAGGCGUGACGACGAGGCACUACGGUGCUGAAGCAACAAAUGCCCUGCUUCCAGGAAAAGCCUCUAAGCAUCAGGUAACAUCAAAUCGUACCCCAAACCGACACAGGUGGUCAGGUAGAGAAUACCAAGGCGCUUGAGAGAACUCGGGUGAAGGAACUAGGCAAAAUGGUGCCGUAACUUCGGGAGAAGGCACGCUGACACGUAGGUGAAGUGAUUUACUCACGGAGCUGAAGUCAGUCGAAGAUACCAGCUGGCUGCAACUGUUUAUUAAAAACACAGCACUGUGCAAACACGAAAGUGGACGUAUACGGUGUGACGCCUGCCCGGUGCCGGAAGGUUAAUUGAUGGGGUCAGCGCAAGCGAAGCUCCUGAUCGAAGCCCCGGUAAACGGCGGCCGUAACUAUAACGGUCCUAAGGUAGCGAAAUUCCUUGUCGGGUAAGUUCCGACCUGCACGAAUGGCGUAAUGAUGGCCAGGCUGUCUCCACCCGAGACUCAGUGAAAUUGAACUCGCUGUGAAGAUGCAGUGUACCCGCGGCAAGACGGAAAGACCCCGUGAACCUUUACUAUAGCUUGACACUGAACAUUGAGCCUUGAUGUGUAGGAUAGGUGGGAGGCUUUGAAGCGUGGACGCCAGUCUGCGUGGAGCCGACCUUGAAAUACCACCCUUUAAUGUUUGAUGUUCUAACGUGGACCCGUGAUCCGGGUUGCGGACAGUGUCUGGUGGGUAGUUUGACUGGGGCGGUCUCCUCCUAAAGAGUAACGGAGGAGCACGAAGGUUGGCUAAUCCUGGUCGGACAUCAGGAGGUUAGUGCAAUGGCAUAAGCCAGCUUGACUGCGAGCGUGACGGCGCGAGCAGGUGCGAAAGCAGGUCAUAGUGAUCCGGUGGUUCUGAAUGGAAGGGCCAUCGCUCAACGGAUAAAAGGUACUCCGGGGAUAACAGGCUGAUACCGCCCAAGAGUUCAUAUCGACGGCGGUGUUUGGCACCUCGAUGUCGGCUCAUCACAUCCUGGGGCUGAAGUAGGUCCCAAGGGUAUGGCUGUUCGCCAUUUAAAGUGGUACGCGAGCUGGGUUUAGAACGUCGUGAGACAGUUCGGUCCCUAUCUGCCGUGGGCGCUGGAGAACUGAGGGGGGCUGCUCCUAGUACGAGAGGACCGGAGUGGACGCAUCACUGGUGUUCGGGUUGUCAUGCCAAUGGCACUGCCCGGUAGCUAAAUGCGGAAGAGAUAAGUGCUGAAAGCAUCUAAGCACGAAACUUGCCCCGAG